rnacentral:rRNA from 1 species
AUUGAACGCUGGCGGCAUGCCUUACACAUGCAAGUCGAACGGCAGCAUGGGUGCUUGCACCUGAUGGCGAGUGGCGAACGGGUGAGUAAUGCAUCGGAACGUACCCGGAAGUGGGGGAUAACGUAGCGAAAGUUACGCUAAUACCGCAUAUUCUGUGAGCAGGAAAGCGGGGGAUCGCAAGACCUCGCGCUUCCGGAGCGGCCGAUGUCGGAUUAGCUAGUUGGCGGGGUAAAGGCCCACCAAGGCAACGAUCCGUAGCGGGUCUGAGAGGAUGAUCCGCCACACUGGGACUGAGACACGGCCCAGACUCCUACGGGAGGCAGCAGUGGGGAAUUUUGGACAAUGGGGGCAACCCUGAUCCAGCCAUGCCGCGUGAGUGAAGAAGGCCUUCGGGUUGUAAAGCUCUUUCGGCUGGGAAGAAAUCGCAUCUCCUAAUACGGGGUGUGGAUGACGGUACCAGCAUAAGAAGCACCGGCUAACUACGUGCCAGCAGCCGCCGUAACAC